rnacentral:lncRNA from 1 species
GCGGGCGGCGGUAGAGACGGACGACCCAAGUCCGGCGGCGGUGAUCGAGAUGGACUCGUGUUGUGCUGGCCGACGUCAUGUGGAGGGCUUGCACGUGAUCUGCUCUUUUUCACUUCCUUCUGCAAUGUGCGUGUAUAGUCAUCAGGCUUAUGGUGUAAGUCAUACUGUGAUGGAAGGGGGUACGAUCAUAAGGUCCGGUAGGAAGAUUAGCAUGACGUACCUUUGGGAGGGGCGACCGUUUGCGCUUUGGGGUGCUCUGUGGCUUAGGAAUCGUCGGCGGAGCGUUCUUGGUGGCACGCUCCCGCUUUGUAUCCGUGACAGGCUCAGGCUUU